AACAUGAAAUACUUCAGUAGCAGCCAAUCCAACUAGAUGGCAAUACACUGCCUGCACUCGGAAAACGAAGUCAAAUUUUUAAAAUUUCAGUUCACUCGUUUGUGAAUAUUUCUGACAUGAUUUUAUUAGUGACUAAUUAGGUAACUAAUGAUUAAUUUACUAAUUAAUUGUAUAAUGAACUUUCGGGUAUUCAAUCAAUCGAAAAUAGAGAUUCUAAAUAUCCAAACAAAUGAAAACGUGUACAUUACAACAUGUAGUUAAUUUUGGACCAGGGAAAGGUAGGAAACAAACCACUAAAACAACAUAUUGUCUAGAUUUGGUUUGUUCAUCACAAUUGUACACAAAGUUAAUUUAGCAAUGGAGAAGACAAGAAGACCCUGUACUUAAAAUACUUUUUUAUCUCGCAUAUUCUAUGUUCUGGAAUUAAAUUUUUCAUGAGAAAUCAUAGAGAACAAAAAUUUAAAGAGAAUAUCGAGUAAAAGUUUUGAGAAUGCAAAAAUUUUAGGCAUUUUGUUCAUCUUGCCAUUUUGUAUUAAAAGUGACUCCACAAAGCUGUUCAUUUUGAUGUUACAGAAAAAGCAAGUCCAUCUUCUAUGGUGUACUUUUCAUCUUGGAUGAUUUUGUAGUUAAUUUAAGGGUUGAUUUAAUCAUAAUAAAUGAACAUGGAGAUGACAAAUGAGAAGGAAUUGAAGUAUGGAGAAAUGGAAUUUCCUUAGUGUUUCCACCUCUUAGACUUGGAAAGAUUGGGUGGUAGUUGUACAUUCCAUGUUGGAUGUGAUGGGUUACGAAGCAUGGGCUCUAUCAGCCCUCCUUCCCUCAAGAAAGGAGCAGUACCUAAAGUCCUAAAGGAAAGUGCCUUUUUUUUUCAUUGGGAACAGAGACAGUGUGUUGUUUUUAAAGGAAGGAUUUAAUACAACGAAAAGAAAAGUCAAAAAACAGCAGCAGUGUGAAAGUUGACAUAUAAUUAUUAAAAGAGCAUUUAUUUUAAGUUUUCUAUUGUAAAUGUUAAUGGAAACUUUGUGUAUAAUUACUUCAGUAAGAGAAUAAAAAAUAAAGGGAAAAUGAAUAUUAAAUAUUUAAAUUUUGAACAUAUGAGAUGUUUGUUUUAAUUAUUAAGGAAUGGUACAUUAAUUACAUGCAUAUCCAUUAUUUUUCCUUUCAUCUGCCUCUAACUACGCCAUUUCAAAAUGCUAUUAUUUUAUUCGCUUUAAUAUUAAUAGUUAUUAGUUGUCUUUUUAAUUUCCACAGGUUGACCAACAGAUGAGAAUUGGAAGUUAAUUUUGACCCUAGCAAUGACAAUAAGCGAAGCCUGCAUUGGUAGCUUUCUUUCCGAACUUGUUUUGCUUUUUGCAUGUGUGAAUUUUAAAACGCUACAGUCUACAGCUAAUCAAGAUUGACGAUAAAUUAAGAGUGGAAGAGCGUUCAUUUAAUGAAUACUUAUCAAUAAGAUUUCAUUUUACAGGGACAUUCACUCCAGAAAAUAGCUGUACCUACAGUCUCAAAGAAAGCAUGAUAGUGCAUUUGUUUCAUUUGGAAUGGGGACAGUGUGGCAUUGCUAAAGGAAGGAUUUAUGACAAUGAAUGAACUGAUUAUACAAUAAAAGAGAAGGAAUUGCAGUUAAUUUUGAUGCUACUGAAGUAAUAUAUACUUCUGAUGUCUUCACUUUGCAACAUUAUGGAGUUAAUUUUGAAUUUUCGGGGAAGAGGCAACUGGAAAUUAAUUUGGAAAGGACUGAAACAACAGGUUGUCUGCAGUGGUUUUCCUCUUGGAUUUGGCUUGCCCAUUAAACUUCAACAACAAAAUACUCCUUCCUGCAGUUAAUUAAGAUUAUCGAACAAAUGAGUUCAGUUUAGCUGUACUGAAACGGCCAUGUCUACAUGGGUGUUGUCUUUUCUGGACUUAGUCUUGAUUUGCUAUUUUUGUCUUCACCUCGCAACGUAUGCAGUUAAUUUUCAACCGAUAAGUGGAAGCAACUGGAAACUUAUUUGAACAACAGACUUUCUGCCGUGGUAUUCUGGAUUUGGUUUGCUUUUUACACCUGCAAACAUUGAGAGGUUGCAGUCUACAGUUAAUUAAGAUCGACGCUGGAGAAGACAAAGAUGACCCCGUAGUUGAAA